CAUGCUCGUAUAAUGAUAUUCGAUGUUGUAUUCACAUUUGAGAAACCAACUAACUUGUAACUACAGACAAAUAAGUCAAGCAUUGUUUGUAAGGGGAAUUUUUAGUGGUGGAUUUUCGAUUUCAUAUUAAUGUGUUUAGGUUGUUGAGUGUAUCUUGAGAUAUUUAACAAAGGACAAGUGAUUUCAUCAUAAGCUCCAAUUUAAUGAAUUAAUGUUGAAAUGCCAAGCUUGUGGGUAAAGGAG
rnacentral:misc_RNA from 1 species